rnacentral:lncRNA from 1 species
CUGAAAACUAUGUUUUAUGGACAGCAUCAUAUUAUUUUUUUUCUCAGACAGAAGAGAGUUAAUUUUAUAAGACACUUUGAACAAACAGUAAAAUCCUACGUGACCUUUUGGGAGCAAACGACCCUUUGAAUUUUAUUUAACAGAACACGUUAGAGCUGGAUUUAGGACUAUUGGGAGAACAGAAAAACAUUUCUCACAGCACUUCUUACAGUUCUCUGAUGAUAGAGGUGGUUUUUUCUCAUUCCACCUCAAGGGUUUCUACCUCCAUUUCAUCGCUGUGCAAUGGAAGCUCCUGUGGCCCCAUAACACAAGAGAUUUGGGGCCAUCCCUCCCUGGGCUCUGCCUGCUCAGCCCAAGGCUCUACACUGCACCAGCUGUUGCUGCUUCACCAAGAAGUCCAGCCAGAACACACACUGGAAUUGCAGAUAUUCAUAGAGGAGGGAAAGAAACCCUAAACAAAGCCCCCAAAAUUAUAGAUGUAAGUUACUCUUGCUUUACCUCUACUUAUAUAUUCAUCUCUGUCAGUGUAAUAUGGUAUCUAACAUAUCUUAUACCCAUAGAAGAAAAAAAACAACAAAAUAACCCAAAACACAAAUACAAGUAGUUUUCAACAGCCACAGUUCUAUAAUAUACUCCCAAAGUUAUUAGAGAUAUAAGCCAUCAUUCACAAGAAAAUACAUAGCUACUUCUAAAAAAUGAAAGAAAAGAUAUCUGAAAAUAUGAUACUAUGUGAUAAAAAGUCUCCAUCACAUUAAGAAGUUUCCACUAUGGAACAACAGUCAAACAGAAAAAGCAGGGAUAUGGGCAGAUGUUUUAAAUCACUGCAUUUAGCUACAUAAAAGACCUCACAUUCCACAUCAGCUGGCACAGAAUCACUCACUGGACAGCUGCUCAUGUUCUGCUUUCUCUUAAAGGUGAGCCAUAAAGCUGAAAUGACAAUCAAGAUAAUUUUAGAUGUGUGAGAUGAAUUCCCUCCUCCCCCAUAACCACACAAACGCUGGUCUCAUACAGACACCAGUUGCUCUGAAGCCUCUGAUCCAGGGCAAGCAUUUCCCAAAGGAUGGAGAAUUGGCAUCUUCCCCCUCACAAGUGUGGCUGUAAACUAAGCUGGGCACAUUGUCCACAUCAAGCUUCAAGUGGCUUCCAGUCCACACCUCUUCCCAUUGAGCCCCUCAAAAUCCCAAGGGUUUCUGAUAUGUGCCUUGACAAGUGCCACCUCACUGGCCAGAGCCCUAAAUCUCUUUGAAAUGGUUACUAUUACAUAAUAGGACAUCAUCACAUCAAAAUUAUAAUUUUCCAGAGUAUUUUCAGCAAAC